GUACUUGCUUCGGCAGUACAUAUACUAAAAUUGUAACGAUACAGAGAAGAUUAGCAUGGCCCUGCGCAAGGAUGUCUAUGGUUUUCUCAUCAACAGUCAAUGCAAAA
rnacentral:snRNA from 1 species